rnacentral:rRNA from 1 species
GAAGUCAAUUGUUACUAAAUAUACACAUGCAAGUAUCCGCUCCCCUGUGAAAACGCCCUUCAACCCCCCCUUAGGGACAAGGAGCCGGUAUCAGGCACAAUAUAUGCCCAAAACACCUAGCUUUGCCACACCCACAAGGGAUUUCAGCAGUGAUUAACAUUGAAUAUUAGCGCAAGCUUGAUUCAGUUAAAGUAAACAGAGCCGGCCAAUCUGGUGCCAGCCGCCGCGGUUACACCAUGUGGCUCAAAUUGACCCCAUUCCGGCGUAAAGCGUGAUUAAAGUUAUUAUCCAAUAGAGUUAAAUUAAAACUAAGCUGUGACACGCUUGUUUUUAAGAAAUUCUAAAACGAAAGUUACUCUAAUUUAACCAACUUGA